AGCAAUUAAAUGAAGAAGGAGAGAGGAGCCGGCGCCUGCUUCGUCGACGGCCAGUGCUCGUGCUCCCAGGCUUGGAGACGAUUCGGCUGGGCGUUGUAUGAACUCGACGACGGCGGUGUGAAGAUCGAUUGCGUCCACGCACCAUCGUGAGUUCUUCUUCCCGCCGUGCUUUCGCGCCAAAUCGAUCGAGGAAGCAUCAUCAACUUCUUCUUCCCGCGUUGCUUCCGCGCCAAAUCAACCGAGGAAGACGGCGGCGCAUGGUGUGGUUCGGCGAUUUUCUCCUCUGCGCAGCGAUUCGUCCCUCUGCCUGGAGGCUGCUGUUGGCGGUGGCAACAUGGCUGGAGGCAAGGGCAUGGAUGUGUUGGCUGGAGGAGGGAGGAGCUCGGGCUCGACACCUGCCGAGGGCACAACCAGUUUGAUGAUUAGAAAUAAUGAUCACUUUGCCGAACUUGUUUCAUAUGUUCAGAAUCUGAAAAAUAUGUUCUGAAGCUAGUAUUGUCUACAAACUUAUUGUUCCCUAAUUCAGUUAAGUUUAUGCUUUUCAUAGGGACCAUAGCCCACACCCAAAUGGUGAUUUUAUUAACAUGUUCAAUCACCAGCCUCAAUUAUCACCUCAUGUGUUGAUAUACAAGUGUUAUGACAGAUGCUGAAAAGAUUGAACAUGUCGCUUCUUUGAGAUGUUUCAGGAAUAGGCUAUUUCCAGAUAGCAACUAGAAGGUACACCGGCUAAAAUUUACUGUCCAUGUUCUCAUAUAUGUCCAAGUUAGCAUAAGUUUUUCCUGUUAGGAUUGGUGUUAACCCAUGCUGCCUGCAAGCAUCAACCGGAUCCAAAUUAUAUAUGGACCUAGUUGAUGCAACAUACAUGAACCUCAUUUCAAGAUGGUGGUCCUGGUAAUGAGAGGUGGACAGCUUUACCGUUUUUUGGCAUGGUGGAAUCUCAGACUUUAUGUAAUAUUUGAACUAAAUGAUCUACAGCUAUGUGUUAUGGUGGACUGACUCUAGUCAGUACGAUAAGUGCAAUAUUUCAGUUUUUAUGAAUGUGAGAUUGAACAUAUGUACAGUUUAUAUACUGAAUUUGAGCCGUUCUUGAUUAGA